UACAGGGGGUGCAAACGUUGCUCGGAAUCAUUGGGCGUAAAGCGCACGUAGGCGGUCUGUUAUGUCGGAUGUGAAAGCCCUUGGCUUAACUGAGGAAGUGCAUCCGAAACUGGCAGGCUAGAGUACUAAAGAGGGUCGCGGAAUUCCCGGUGUAGAGGUGAAAUUCGUAGAUAUCGGGAGGAAUACCAGUGGCGAAGGCGGCCUUCGUGGACGGAGUACUGACGCUGAGGCGCGGAAAGCCAGGGGAGCGAACGGG
rnacentral:rRNA from 1 species